rnacentral:rRNA from 1 species
UACGAAGGGGGCUAGCGUUGCUCGGAAUCACUGGGCGUAAAGCGCACGUAGGCGGAUUAUUAAGUCAGGGGUGAAAUCCUGGAGCUCAACUCCAGAACUGCCUUUGAUACUGGCGAUCUCGAGUCCGGGAGAGGUGAGUGGAACUGCGAGUGUAGAGGUGAAAUUCGUAGAUAUUCGCAAGAACACCAGUGGCGAAGGCGGCUCACUGGCCCGGUACUGACGCUGAGGUGCGAAAGCGUGGGGAGCAACAGG